CCCUCCUUAAUUCAACCGGUCUGUAACAGAAUCGCCACUAAUUAAGUGUAAGGGAAAGUCAAUAGUCUUUAGAAUGAGUAAGCGCGAGUGAUUAUCUGACCCUACCCUAGAGAAUCCCCCUUCUACCCUAGAGAAUCCCCCUUUGAGGCGUGGUUUGUUUGUGACUUGGUCAAGUUACUUUCGUUUUUGUUUUUUGCGUUUUGACGUCCGUCGGAGAGAUGAAGCCACACAACGUCAACGUGUCACCAGGAGAUGAGCCUGUCUGCAGGCAACACCAACAAAACUUUUGGUUCUCUAAAUUAAGGACGUUGAAGGUGUAAAUCCAAAGUGGCUAUUGAUUUCUACAGGAAUGUGAUGAAUGAGGCUACAGUGGAUUUUUCUCACUAUCAUGAUAAAUGCAAUUUUCAUUCAAUAAUU